CUACGUGCCAGCAGCCCGCGGUAAUACGUAGGGUGGCGAGCGUUAAUCGGAAAUUACUGGGCGUAAAGCGUGCGCAGGCGGUUUUGUAAGACAGGCGUGAAAUCCCCGGGCUUAACCUGGGAACUGCGCUUGUGACUGCAAGACUAGAGUGUAGCAGAGGGGGGUAGAAUUCCACGUGUAGCAGUGAAAUGCGUAGAGAUGUGGAGGAAUACCGAUGGCGAAGGCAGCCCCCUGGGCUAACACUGACGCUCAUGCACGAAAGCGUGGGGAGCAAACAGGAUUAGAUACCCUGGUAGUCCACGCCCUAAACGAUGUCAACUAGGUGUUGGGGAAGGAGACUUCUUUAGUACCGCAGCUAACGCGUGAAGUUGACCGCCUGGGGAGUACGGUCGCAAGAUUAAAACUCAAAGGAAUUGACGGGGACCCGCACAAGCGGUGGAUUAUGUGGAUUAAUUCGAUGCAACGCGAAAAACCUUACCUACCCUUGACAUGCCAGGAAGAUUCCAGAGAUGGGAUUGUGCCCGAAAGGGAACCUGGACACAGGUGCUGCAUGGCUGUCGUCAGCUCGUGUCGUGAGAUGUUGGGUUAAGUCCCGCAACGAGCGCAACCCUUGCCAAUAAUUGCCAUCAUUCAGUUGGGCACUUUAUUGGGACUGCCGGUGAUAAACCGGAGGAAGGUGGGGAUGACGUCAAGUCCUCAUGGCCCUUAUGGGCAGGGCUUCACACGUAAUACAAUGGUCGGUACAGAGGGUAGCCAACCCGCGAGGGGGAGCCAAUCCCAGAAAGCCGAUCGUAGUCCGGAUCGGAGUCUGCAACUCGACUCCGUGAAGUCGGAAUCGCUAGUAAUCGCGGAUCAGCAUGUCGCGGUGAAUACGUUCCCGGGUCUUGUACACACCGCCCGUCACACCAUGGGAGUGGAAUCUGGCAGAAGUAGGUAGCCUAACCGCAAGGAGGGCGCUUACCACGCUGGGUUUCAUGACUGGGGUGAAGUCGUAACAAGGUAGCC
rnacentral:rRNA from 1 species